UUGAUUCUUUGAAUUUCAGUGGCUGUGGUUUUCCAUUUAUUAUUUUUGUGUUGGUGUGGUUAUGUGACAUGAAGGAACAAGCUGGUCACCAUGAAGUGGUGUGUGUGUGUUUGUCAGUAUGUGUGUGCUUUACAGCAGUCAAAAAGCCUUUUGAUGAACUUUGACAUUCGCCAUUUAUGUAGAAAAACUGGCUUUGAGGUCUUGUGUGCAGUUGUGCAGUUGACCAUGUGAUCUAACUUGAUGCCAUGUUGCUUCUUGCUUCUUUCUCUCCCUCUCUCCUCCCCUUGCCCAGUCGGCAAGAAAACGACCCACCCCUCCCAACAAACCUCUUCCCCCUGAUCCCCCUCUCUCUCAGGGGAAGACUCAGCGCAAGCGACCGGCACCUCCAGACAAGCCUCUCCCCCCCGAUCCAGUCCAAGCGAAUAGCCAGGUAUCACAGGACCAGAAGCCCAGCGUCAGACUAACGCUGUACAGACAUUUAAAGACUUUUCACGGGUGAUGGUGUGAAGUCACAAGUUUCACACCAGUCUUAACGCUGACGCUAGUCAGUAUGGUCGAAGUGUUUUGUGUGCCCAGCAUCAGACUAACGCUGAACAGACAUUUAAAGACUUCGAACGCUGGAAGGGUGUCUCAUGCUAAAUGUAAUAUAUUACGGGUGUCUCACACCAGUAUGGUCAGUAUGGUCAAAGUAUUUUGUGUGCCGUUUCAGAAUCCAGCCCCUCCCAAGCCUCCAGUGCCCAAGAAGCCUUUACCAGUGAACCCACCUAGCUUCCCUGCUGGCGCCCCCGGACACCCCCCAGGUUUGGCGACAGGAGGGGCAUCGAUUGCACCCUCAACCCAUGGGCUGCGUGUACCAUCUGCUGGUGUAGUCCCAACUAGGCAUCCGCCUCUUCCCCCCACGAGGGCACCCCAGCCAAGGAAACCCUACUUCCUGGCUUCUCCAGUUUAG
rnacentral:lncRNA from 1 species